rnacentral:rRNA from 1 species
GAUGAACGCUGGCGGCGUGCCUAAUACAUGCAAGUCGAGCGAACAGACGAGUAGCUUGCUCCUCUGACGUUAGCGGCGGACGGGUGAGUAACACGUGGAUAACCUAUCUAUAAGACUGGGAUACCUUCGGGAAACCGGAGCUAAUACCGGAUAAUAUAUUCAUCCGCAUUGUUCAAUAGUGAAAGACGGUUUUGAUGUCACUUAUCGAUGGAUCAGCGCCGCAUUAGCUAGUUGGUAAGGUAACGGCUUACCAAGGCAACGAUGCGUAGCCGACCUGAGAGGGGGAUCGGCCACACUGGACUGGAAACACGGUCCAGACUAGUACGGGAGGCAGCAGUAGGGAAUGUUCCGCAAGGGGCGAAAGCAUGACGGAGCAAAGCCGCGUGAGUGGUAAAGGUACUCGGAUCGGAAUACUAUGCUAUUAGGGAAGAACAAAUGUGUAAGUAACUAGGCACGUCUUGACGGUACCUAAUGAGAAAGCCACGGCUAACUACGUG